rnacentral:rRNA from 1 species
CUCAGAACGAACGCUGGCGGCAGGCUUAACACAUGCAAGUCGAACGCUGUAGCAAUACAGAGUGGCAGACGGGUGAGUAACGCGUGGGAACGUGCCCUUCGGUUCGGAAUAACUCAGGGAAACUUGAGCUAAUACCGGAUACGUGCGAGAGCAGAAAGAUUUAUCGCCGAAGGAUCGGCCCGCGUCCGAUUAGCUAGUUGGUGAGGUAAUGGCUCACCAAGGCGACGAUCGGUAGCUGGUCUGAGAGGAUGAUCAGCCACACUGGGACUGAGACACGGCCCAGACUCCUACGGGAGGCAGCAGUGGGGAAUAUUGGACAAUGGGCGAAAGCCUGAUCCAGCCAUGCCGCGUGAGUGAGAAGGCCCUAGGGUUGUAAAGCUCUUCGCCAGGGACGAUAAUGACGGUACCUGGAUAAGAAGCCCCGGCUAACUUCGUGCCAGCAGCCGCGGUAAUACGAAGGGGGCUAGCGUUGUUCGGAUUGACUGGGCGUAAAGGGCGUGUAGGCGGUUGCCCAAGUCCGAUGUGAAAGCCCGGGGCUUAGCCUCGGAAGUGCAUCGGAAACUAGGCAGCUGGAGCGCGAUAGAGGAGGGUAGAAUUCCUGGUGUAGCGGUGAAAUGCGUAGAUAUCAGGAGGAAUACCUGUGGCGAAAGCGGCUCACUGGUCCAUAACUGACGCUGAUGCACGAAAGCUAGGGGAGCAAACAGGAUUAGUUACCCUGGUAGUCCUAGCCUUAAACGAUGACUGCUUGGUGUGGGGUACCCAAUCCCGCCGUGCCGUAGCUAACGCGAUAAGCAGUCCGCCUGGGGAGUACGGUCGCAAGGCUGAA